ACUCAAAUGAAUUGACGGGGACCCGCACAAGCGGUGGAGCGUGUUGUUUAAUUCGAUGGUAAGCGAAGAACCUUACCCAGGUUUGACAUCCUUGGAAGUUCUCCGAAAGGAGAAUGUGCUUUUGAACCAAGUGACAGGUGAUGCAUGGCCGUCGUCAGCUCGUGUCGUGAGAUGUUUGGUUAAGUCCAUCAACGAGCGCAACCCUUGUGAUUAGUUGAAUUUUUCUAAUCAGACUGCCCUGGUAACAGGGAGGAAGGAGGGGAUGAUGUCAGGUCCGUAUUUCCCUUAUAUCUGGGGCUACAAACACGCUACAAUGGCCGGUACAAAGGGCAGCCAAGUCGCGAGACGGAGCAAAUCCCAUCAAAGCCGGUCCCAGUUCGGAUAGCAGGCUGAAACUCGCCUGCUUGAAGUCGGAAUCGCUAGUAACGGUAGGUCAGCUAUACUACCGUGAAUACGUUCCCGGGUCUUGUACACACCGCCCGU
rnacentral:rRNA from 1 species